rnacentral:rRNA from 1 species
CUGCAGCCCGAGUGGUGAUCGAUUUUAUUGAGCCUAAAGCGUCCGUAGCCGGACUAGUAAACCCUUGGGUAAAUUGGGCAGCUUAACUGUCCAAAUUCCGAGGGGACUGCUAGUCUUGGGACCGGGAGAGGUCAGAGGUACUCAAGGGGUAGGGGCUAAAUCCUGUAAUCCUUUGGGGACCACCAGUGGCGAAGGCGUCUGACUAGAACGGAUCCGACGGUAAGGGACGAAACCCUGGGGCGCGAACCGGAUUAGAUACCCGCUAGUCC